AUUGAACGCUGGCGGCAGGCUUAACACAUGCAAGUCGAGCGGGGUGAUGGUGCUUGCACUAUCACUUAGCGGCGGACGGGUGAGUAAUGCUUAGGAAUCUGCCUAUUAGUGGGGGACAACAUCUCGAAAGGGAUGCUAAUACCGCAUACGUCCUACGGGAGAAAGCAGGGGAUCACUUGUGACCUUGCGCUAAUAGAUGAGCCUAAGUCGGAUUAGCGAGGUGGUGGGGUAAAGGCCUACCAAGGCGACGAUCUGUAGCGGGUCUGAGAGGAUGAUCCGCCACACUGGGACUGAGACACGGCCCAGACGCCUACGGGAGGCAGCAGUGGGGAAUAUUGGACAAUGGGGGGAACCCUGAUCCAGCCAUGCCGCGUGUGUGAAGAAGGCCUUAUGGUUGUAAAGCACUUUAAGCGAGGAGGAGGCUCUUUUGGUUAAUACCCAGGAUGAGUGGACGUUACUCGCAGAAUAAGCACCGGCUAACUCUGUGCCAGCCGCCGCCGUAA
rnacentral:rRNA from 1 species